rnacentral:rRNA from 1 species
AACGAACGCUGGCGGCAUGCCUAACACAUGCAAGUCGAACGAGACCGUCGGGUCUAGUUGCGCACGGGUGCGUAACGCGUGGGAACCUGCCCUUAGGUUCGGAAUAACUCCCCGAAAGGUGUGCUAAUACCGGUUAAUGUCUUCGGACCAAAGAUUUAUGGCCUUUGGAUGGGCCCGCGUUGGAUUAGCUGGUUGGUAGUGUAAAAGCCUACCAAGGCGACGAUCCAUAGCUGGUCGGAUAGGAUGCUCAUCCAGACUGGGACUGAGACACGGCCCACACCCCUACGGGAGGCAGCAGUGGGGAAUAUUGGACACUGGGCGCAAGCCUGAUACAGCCAUGCCGCGUGAGUGAUGAAGGCCUUAGUGUUGUAAAGCUCUCUUACCCGGGAUGAUAAUGACAGUAACGGGAGAAUAAGCACCGGCUAACUACGUG